CCUCACCACCAUCAGUGUGGUUUCCGGGCCAUAAUUUGAAACACGGUGUUCUUGGAUCUAUGUAAUGAUGUACCCAUUAGAACUCCUUGAAAUAACUCAGAAGGCCGUGACUACGAUCAUGUGAUCUCCUGACUCCAGCUUCAAUGACAGACAGAUGCCGAGUUUCAGCGACAGCUAGAAUGCUCAGGAAAAGUGGGCUCUGCGUUUUGAAUCCUAGCAUCGGGAUCUUAGGUAAGUUACUUGUUUGUGUCUCGGUUUCUUCAUCUGUGAAAUGGAGGGAAUAGCGCCCACUUCUAGGAUUAUUAUGAAGGUCAAGUGAGUUCAAACAAGUAGUGUCUCCAUUAGCUUCUAGUCCCUGGUAGCUACUCAAAAAACACUGUUUCAAUGGACUGAAACUCUCCAAGGUUUAGUCUGAUGUCAUUUGCGCAAAGAAUGAAUUGCUCCUCCUUCUGGGCGUGUGGGCAAAUCUGAUAUAGAAUUUAUUUCCUUCCCUAGUGAUGGAAAUUCCACAAACACAUCCCCAUGCCUGAUAGAACACCCAGGUCCCAGGAGAUGCGCCAUAAAUGUGAAUUGUCUGGGUCGGUGCUGAGGGCAGCUGAGACUUCUCAGGCUUCUCUACCGUGGCUGCAAAUGUCAGGAUGAACUAAAUUAUGCUGUGAUAAUGAACAGCCCCCCCAAAUCUCAGCAGCCUCAAACAUGAAAGGUUUAUUUCUCAGUCACACUGGCUGCAUCCCUUCCCUUGGAAGGCGUCUCAGGGACGUGCAGGAGCAAAAACACCCUGCUGCACAGACAUACUCCUGGAAAAGGGUCCUGGUCAGACUAUUGGGAAAAACAUGCCUGAAUGGUGAGGCCAAGCAGCAUCUGUCCCCCUUGCUGGUCACACUCCACCUUUCCUUCGCUGUUCAUGCCUCCAAGCCAGCUGGGUUGGGAGGAUCUGGGGCAGCUGGAGGAGAAGUACGUGGCACGAAGGCCAGCACAGACGGCUGCAUCUUCACCCCAGCCAGCAUGCAUCACUGUCCUCGGGGCACUCUGGCUAACCAGCCAUGGCCAGAGAAAAAUGAGAUUGGAAAAGGGGCCUCAGGUGUACAGUCUAGAGAGGAAGACUUUUCCAAUGGCGCCUGUGACCAAAGUCCAGGCUCCACGUUCUUCAAAACAAUCACUCCAAAAGCUGGACAAAGGGGAUCAAGUCUUCUGUGCUUAUUUGGAGCCCACAGCCACCAGACACUUUUGGUGUCUAAAAUCUACGUUUAUUUUCACCGUCUACAGGUGAAUCACAGAUGACCCUGCUGACAAGGAUGCUGGGCUACUGUGCCUUUUCCUUUCUUCCCUCUUUCUCUCUCUUUCUC